GGGAUUACGGCAACAUUGAAACACCAGUUCUUGUACGAUCCCGGAAGUUAAGCCAUGUCAAACCUGGUCAGUAUCUAGAUGGGUGACUACUUGGGAAUACUAGGUGCUGUAAG